rnacentral:rRNA from 1 species
ACGGAGGGUGCAAGCGUUGCUCGGAAUCACUGGGCGUAAAGCGCGUGUAGGCGGCCCGGUAAGACGAGUGUGAGAGCCCGGGGCUCAACCUCGGAAGUGCAUUCGAAACUGUCGGACUUGAGUACGGGAGAGGGAAGUGGAAUUCCUGGUGUAGAGGUGAAAUUCGUAGAUAUCAGGAGGAACACCGGUGGCGAAGGCGGCACUCUGGGCCGGUACUGACGCUGAGGAGCGAAAGCGUGGGGAGCAAACA